rnacentral:rRNA from 1 species
GACGAACGCUGGCGGCGUGCUUAACACAUGCAAGUCGAACGGAAAGGCCCUGCUUUUGUGGGGUUCUCGAGUGGCGCACGGGUGAGUAACACGUGAGUAACCUGCCCUUGACUUUGGGAUAACUUCAGGAAACUGGGGCUAAUACCGGAUAGGAGCUCCUGCUGCAUGGUGGGGGUUGGAAAGUUUCGGCGGUGGGGGAUGGACUCGCGGCUUAUCAGCUUGUUGGUGGGGUAGUGGCUUACCCAGGCUUCGACGGGUAGCCGGCCUGGGAGGGUGAGCGGCCACAUUGGGACUGAGAUACGGCCCAGACUCCUACGGGAGGCAGCAGUGGGGAAUAUUGCACAAUGGGCGGAAGCCUGAUGCAGCAACGCCGCGUGCGGGAUGACGGCCUUCGGGUUGUAAACCGCUUUCGCCUGUGACGAAGCGUGAGUGACGGUAAUGGGUAAAGAAGCACCGGCUAACUACGUG